rnacentral:ncRNA from 1 species
GUUCGGGAAUAUGGAUUAAAAGGGAAUCGGGUGUAAAUCCCGGACAGUCCCGCUGCUGUGAAGCUCCGUUUUAACAUCCUGGAACUACUUUCGCCACUGGCUUGUUAUAAUUAAGUCGGGAAGGCUUCAGGAUGGGAGUCAGUCAGAAGACCUGCCGUUCAUUAU